rnacentral:rRNA from 1 species
AACGAACGCCGGCGGCAUGCCUAACACAUGCAAGUCGAACGAGAUCUUCGGGUCUAGUGGCGCACGGGUGCGUAACGCGUGGGAAUCUGCCCUUUGGUUCGGAAUAACAGUUGGAGACGACUGCUAAUACCGGAUGAUGACGAAAGUCCAAAGAUUUAUCGCCAGAGGAUGAGCCCGCGUAGGGUUAGCUAGUUGGUGUGGUAAAGGCGCACCAAGGCGACGAUCCUUAGCUGGUCUGAGAGGAUGAUCAGCCACACUGGGACUGAGACACGGCCCAGACUCCUACGGGAGGCAGCAGUGGGGAAUAUUGGACAAUGGGCGAAAGCCUGAUCCAGCAAUGCCGCAUGAGUGAUGAAGGCCUUAGGGUUGUAAAGCUCUUUUACCCGGGAUGAUAAUGACAGUACCGGGAGAAUAAGCUCCGGCUAACUCCGUGCCAGCCGCCGCAGUAA